GUGAGGAAUCUUGCGCAAUGGGGGAAACCCUGACGCAGCAACGCCGUGUGAGUGAUGAAGGCCUUCGGGUCGUAAAGCUCUGUUAGGUGGAAAGAAAAGUGCUCGACUAAUAAUCGAGUUUCUUGACGGUACCACCAGAGGAAGCACCGGCCAACUCCGUGCCAGCAGCCGCGGUAAUACGGAGGGUGCAAGCGUUGUUCGGAAUUACUGGGCGUAAAGAGCGUGUAGGCGGCUCAUUAAGUCAGAUGUGAAAUCCCUGGGCUCAACCCAGGAAGUGCAUUUGAAACUAAUUAGCUAGAGUACGAGAGAGGAAGGUGGAAUUCCUGGUGUAGAGGUGAAAUUCAUAGAUAUCGGGAAGAAUACCGGUGGCGAAGGCGGCCUUCUGGCUCGAUACUGACGCUGAGACGCGAAAGCGUGGGGAGCAAACAGGAUUAGAUACCCGUGUAGUCC
rnacentral:rRNA from 1 species